rnacentral:rRNA from 1 species
GACGAACGCUGGCGGCGUGCUUAACACAUGCAAGUCGAACGGAAAGGCCCUGCUUUUGUGGGGUGCUCGAGUGGCGAACGGGUGAGUAACACGUGAGUAACCUGCCCUUGACUUUGGGAUAACUUCAGGAAACUGGGGCUAAUACCGGAUAGGAGCUCCUGCUGCAUGGUGGGGGUUGGAAAGUUUCGGCGGUUGGGGAUGGACGCGCGGCUUAUCAGCUUGUUGGUGGGGUAGUGGCUUACCAAGGCUUUGACGGGUAGCCGGCCUGGGAGGGUGACCGGCCACAAUGGGACUGAGAUACGGCCCAGACUCCAACGGUAGGCAGCAGUGGGGAAUAUUGCACAGUGGGCGGAAGCCUGAGACAGAAACGCCGCGUGCGGGAUGACGGCCUUCGGGUUGUAAACCGCUUUCGCCUGUGACGAAGCGUGAGUGACGGUAAUGGGUAAAGAAGCACCGGCUAACUACGUG